CAAAUUGGCGUAUCGAGACGCGCACCCGGCUCGGCGCACGCCGCCACCACGACGGUUUUCAACUGGAGGGAAGGACUGGGGAAAAUAAGAAGCGACGCUCUAGCCAGAGAAGAGGAGUUCCUACACCACCACCACCGACAGUACUAGCACCAGCUCCAGCACCAGCGCCAGCAGUCACAGUCGCCGCAGUCCGCCACGCAGAAGCCAGCACCGAGACACCGCCGCCGCCUAGCAGUUGGGGAAGCCUGCCCGUCCUCCGUUUUUAUUGAAUUCACCGUCGCUCCGAAACCGCCCGCAAGAUUUGCUCCAACCCGGUGACGAGACUCUCCGCAUCGGAGCCAAUUUAAGCGCUAGGUGUCUCAACUAGCCACCUACACAUCGCCUUGCCUUCCGCCCUGAUUAAGAAGAAAGACAUUUUUCUUUGAAUCUAAAAUAAACUUUUGACUUGUAAAUAGUUUUGGGAAAACACGACCUGCUCUUUAUUUUAUAACUACA